rfam:Gossypium raimondii chromosome 2, whole genome shotgun sequence.
AACUCAUGGUAAGGGCACCUUCUCAAUAAAUCCUUAUACCUCUCCUAUGCAUCAUCUAGGGUUUCUAAGUCGAUCUAAAUGAAGGAAGAGAUAUCAUUCCUUAACUU